rnacentral:rRNA from 1 species
GACGAACGCUGGCGGCGUGCUUAACACAUGCAAGUCGAGCGGAAAGGCCCUUUCGGGGGUACUCGAGCGGCGAACGGGUGAGUAACACGUGAGUAAUCUGCCCUGGACUCUGGGAUAGCCACCGGAAACGGUGAUUAAUACCGGAUAUGACACCUUGCUGCAUAGUGGGGUGUGGAAAGUUUUUUCGGUCCAGGAUGUGCUCGCGGCCUAUCAGCUUGUUGGUGAGGUAAUGGCUCACCAAGGCUUUGACGGGUAGCCGGCCUGAGAGGGUGACCGGUCACACUGGGACUGAGACACGGCCCAGACUCCUACGGGAGGCAGCAGUGGGGAAUAUUGGACAAUGGGCGGAAGCCUGAUCCAGCAACGCCGCGUGAGGGAUGACGGCCUUCGGGUUGUAAACCUCUUUCAGUACCGACGAAGCGAAAGUGACGGUAGGUACAGAAGAAGGACCGGCCAACUACGUGCCAGCCGCCGCAGUAACAC